CACUUUCCAUUUAACAGAGAGGCGCUGGAGGGAGGAAAUUGCACGGGCAUCGGUGCUGAACGUGCCUCGAGUGUCGCCAAGAAACUGCCAGGGAGGCGUGGGUGUUGACGACCUGUGGCGCCUCAGGACACGUGAGGUACCCGUCGCGGCCCCCUCCUUCCUCUCCUGACAGCCGCUCACAUCACGGCUGGGAAUGAGGUGACACGUGGAGCUCCGGUCUGUUCCACAUCUCCGCCGCCGCCGAGUGGGUGUGUCAGCUCGUCGUAAAAUUUGUCCUAAGACAACUCCUCCAGAGGGUUAAUGAACGGCGCCUAUAGGGGUUCAUUCCACGCCUGUAUCAUAGUCAUCGCCAGUAUCAUCGUCAGAGGCCCGGAUUGAGAAACGUUGUGCUCCCUCAUCACAACUGUUUUCAAAGACCAAGGAGAUGAUUACCUGGGUUCUCAAGACCAUUUCUCCUGUUAAUAGUACAAAACACUCUUAAAAACCCGUAUCACUUCAAUUAGAGCCCUUUGAAAGUAAUCUAGGUGCGACUAGUAGUGUUUCAGAAUAGGGUCAAUAGACAUAUACACAGGCGGCUCGUUGUCUCGUGUUCAUUAUGCUGCCUUAGUGUUUGUAUUGACUGUAUUCUUUUUGUGUUGUAAUUCUGCGUCUGUGACCUGGAGUAGGUGGUGCAGCAAAAGGGGUUCUGUCUGUCAGAUCACUGUCUCGUGUUUAUGAUGUCGCCUCAACGUCUCGAGGUUUUCAUUGCCGCCCCGCACGGAACUCCCUCUAAAGGAUCCUGAUGUGUACUUCCUGACACGAGACCUCAGUGGAAGUUAUGGCUCAUUGGACAACCCAUAGCCAAACUUUGGUCAUGUAUACGUAUCGAGACGGAAAGUAAGACAUGGGAGCUUGGUGAAAGAAGGAGAGAUUGAGUGAACUAACGUGAUGGGAUAAGAAUAUUGCAAAAAAUUGAAUUAGUUAAAAAAAAAUGUGGAAUAAAGCAAAACAGCUGAGUGAAAGAAGGAAAACUUGUGAACUAACGAAAUAAAAAGCAAAGGUAAAGGAUGUACAGUGAAAUAACGGGAUAAAAUAUUAAAGAGAUAGAUUAAAAAUAAAUAAAUAAGUGAAACAGUAAAAAAAAAAAAAAAUUAGAAAUGACACCAGAGACAACGUGGAAAAGUCACCAGAGGAAAGGAGGAAAAAAAAAAAAACAAAUAAUGGGAUUGGAAGCCACCAGAGAAAAGAGGAGAAAAAAGUAACGGGAUUCGAACCCACUAACGCCACCUGGAAGCGUCACCUCCUAACCCUGUGACCUACACCCCCACACCACUCCCGCCACCCUGCACUAUAUAUACUGUGGACCGAACAAAAAUAUAAAAGAAAAAAAUAGGGAAUAAUUGACCUAUAUAAUACUUAA